ACAAAGCCAGACUGUGACAAUCUGAGCUUCAAAUAUGUGAUAGUUAUAUUGUGGUUAACUGGAAUAUAUUAAACCUAUGAAAGGUCCUAUGUUCGUAGUGAUACUCUAAGGUUAAAAGCCAUUACAGCACACUAAUGGAUCAGUUGACAUGCAUCAAGUGCCGGUUCUAUAGAGACAGCAUGCUGAGGAGCUGAGAAUGCCAGAAAACAUAAACCAUGAUCUCUAUCCUCAAAAAAAUGCAGCAUUAAGAUGCCAUUUUAGAAGCAGAGAGAGCCAUCACCAGACAGCCAAACAUCUGCCAGCACCGGACUUCCCUGCCUCCAGAACUGCCAUCAACAAACAGUCACGCAACCGGAGCCUCCGAUGAUGGCCCCUUCUGCUGGGAACCCUUAAACAGGCCUAUGAAGAAGCUCUGACUGCCAUUUUCCCAAAACAGCAUCCCCUGUCAUCAGGAAGCAGUUAAGAUGGGUCUUCGUCCUUAUCCUUAUCCCUCUUCUAACGGCAAUUAGAUGUACUUUAGAGGGAAUGAGACAGCCAGGUGGGAAGCGGUCCCCAGAAUCCAACCGGCCUGUGCACUGAGAGGAUUGCACAGUGGGGUGGAGCCAAAGUUUAUUAUACAUCUGUCCAAACUCACAGAAUGUACAACAUCAAGAGUGAACCCUGACAUGAACUAUGGACUCUGGGUGAUUAUGAUGAUUCAGUGUGGGUUCACAAUUGUUCACCACCCUGGUGGCAGACAAGGAAAACGGGAGGUUGGGCAUGUGCAGGAGC